GCGUGCCUAACACAUGCAAGUCGAACGAGAAAGUGGAGCAAUCCAUGAGCAAAGUGGCGACCGGGUGAGUAACACGUGACUAACCUACCUUCGAGUGGGGGAUAACCUCGGGAAACCGGGGCUAAUACCGCAUAAUGCCUUCGGGUUAAAGGAGCAAUUCGCUUGAAGAGGGGGUCGCGGCUGAUUAGCUAGUUGGCGGGGUAACGGCCCACCAAGGCGAUGAUCGGUAGCCGGCCUGAGAGGGCGCACGGCCACACUGGAACUGAAACACGGUCCAGACUCCUACGGGAGGCAGCAGUGGGGAAUUUUGCGCAAUGGGGGAAACCCUGACGCAGCAACGCCGCGUGGAGGAUGAAGUCCUUUGGGACGUAAACUCCUUUCGACCGGGACGAUGAUGACGGUACCGGUGGAAGAAGCCCCGGCUAACUUCGUGCCAGCAGCCGCGGUAAUACGAGGGGGGCAAGCGUUGUUCGGAAUUAUUGGGCGUAAAGGGCGCGUACGCGGUGCGGUAAGUCACCUGUGAAACCUCUGGGCUUAACUCA
rnacentral:rRNA from 1 species